rnacentral:lncRNA from 1 species
UUGCAUAAAAAAUUCACAAGUUUUAAGAUUUUGCAAAACUGGAUUACAUUUUCCAAUUUUGCAGAUUCGAACCGAAUUUUUUUGUCAUCGGACGAAAAUAUCCUUAUUCUUUUUCUUUCUCUCUUUUCUUUCUUUUUCCUUAGCCAUUUUUUUCUUCCGCCUUCUCCUCUGCAGCGCCCUCCCUUUCCCCCACCAAUCACGGCCUUUCUCAAAAUGCCCCGCCCCAAACUCCUCUCUCUCCUUCCUCCUCUUCCUCCUCUCUCCUCUCUCUUCCUCUUCUUCGUCCUCCUUCCCCUUUUAUUCCGAUCUCAUCCCCGACGAGUUCCGCGCC